rnacentral:snRNA from 1 species
GGAUAUAGGGUGACCUGGCAGAAGUACUUAUCACCCUAUUGAUUGUCAGGGCUGAUUUAACUGUUCUAGUUGCUAAAUGGAUCUCUCUCUCUCUCCUCCCUUACUGCUUCAUCUUCAUGUGUGUCCCUUCCAAAGCUGUGUUUCCUUCCAAAUAAAGCUCUCAAAAAAUGAGCUUUGGGCUAGGGUUGUAGCCUAAUGGUGGAACAUAAGUGCUAGGCUUUAGGUCUG